rnacentral:lncRNA from 12 species
UAUCUGUUUCAAAGAAAUAUUUUCUGUGAUGUUACUCAAUUGGUAGUUUUUUUUAUCUUUCUGUUUAAUGUAGUGAAUUUGCCCUGAAUCAUGAUGUUGCAAAGAAAGAUAAAGGACAGACUUUAAAGCAGAAGGCUAAUCAGCUGAUGAGCUCUUCCAGUGGGAAUAAUUUUCGAGUACCAGAUGAUAGCACUUCCAGUGAAGUAUCUCAAGAGGAAGGAAGACCUGCAGCAAAAACAGCAAGUGAAAGAAAUAAGGUCCGCAUACAAAUGGAUGUAACUGAUGACCUUGAUUUCACUCAUUCAUCUGACACAACAUCAGAGGAUGUCAAACUACCAACAUCCACCUGCAGAGAGGCUGUGUUGCUCUUAGAACAGCUUACUGUGGAUCAUGCAGGUUCUGUUAUUUUACUGAAAAUUCAAAACAUGCUUCUUAAAUAUGAACAAAUAAUAGAGCAUGAAAAAAAUCGGUAUGCAGCAGUCUCGAGAGAAGUAAGAAAGUUGGAAAGUGAAAAGGAAAAAUCAAAAUUACUAGCAGAAGAGACUUGA